rnacentral:rRNA from 1 species
GACAGAGGGGGCAAGCGUUGCUCGGAAUCACUGGGCGUAAAGGGCGCGUAGGCGGGAUGGCAAGUCAGUCGUGAAAUCUCUCGGCUCAACCGAGAAACGUCGGCUGAUACUGCCGUUCUUGAGGGAUGCAGAGGAGACUGGAAUUCCCGGUGUAGCGGUGAAAUGUGUAGAGAUCGGGAGGAACACCGGUGGCGAAGGCGGGUCUCUGGGCAUUUCCUGACGCUGAGGAGCGAAAGCGUGGGGAGCGAACAGG